rnacentral:lncRNA from 1 species
CUGCUCUCCACACCACCGUCCCCUCACCAUCCCCUGAUAACGCAACCAAACCGACUUCCUACGCCCCGCCACCGCCUCCGGCCAACUCUUCCCUCGGCGCUCGCUCCCAACCCGCCCAGACGCGGUUGGCCUCUCCAAGACGGCCGAGUUCGUGAUCUCCAAGGUCGAUGAUGUCAUCAACUAUGUCCGCCGAGGAUCCAUCUGGCCAAUGACUUUCGGGCUCGCUUGCUGCGCUGUCGAGAUGAUGCACACGGGUGCGGCUCGCUACGAUCUGGAUCGGUUUGGUGUCAUUUUCAGGCCUAGCCCUCGCCAGUCUGAUUGUAUGAUUGUCGCCGGUACCUUAACUAACAAGAUGGCUCCUGCUCUCCGCAAGUAAGUCGAUUCCCUGAUUUCUAGGGUUCCGUUUCCUGAGCUGAUAUUGCGAUGGUGAUUAAUUGAUGAUCUGCAUUUUGGUUUUGAAGGAUUUAUGAUACGGUGAAAUUGUUCAAUUCAAUAUGUUUGGUUUUACUUUAGGAUGAGUUUUCUGUUGUGAUGAAUGAAUGCACUUAUAAUGCUUGAAUUGGAUGGUCCAUUUACUGGGGAGAGUGAAGAGAGAUUGCAUUGCUGGACUAUUGAUCAAAGUAAUGUUCUUGUUGCUUUCAGACUCAACUUGGUUCAAAGCAUUUACUUUAUGGUUUGAGACUUGGAGGUUUCGAUAAUCUUGCUCGGUUGAACUUAGGCAUAAGCACAAAGUAGAGAUCACUAAGGCUGUGAUGUGGAAUGGCUCUAUUUUUGUUUGAGUUUUCGUUUCAUUAGUUACUACUGGAAGUUUAGAGUAGAGUAUGGUGUUCAUCAGGCUUUUUAAACUGCAAAGGAACUGUUAGCUGAUUUACACUGUUAUUACCAAAAGCCCAGUGGAGGGAUCUCUCCUCCACUAUGCUGCUAAAGUUGUGUUGCUAUUUGUCAAUAACUAAUAGAAUUUGGCUGUCUAUGGUUUGAUUGCGUAAAGCUGUUAUCUUGCAUCACCAUUUCAUAUAUGUAAUGAUAUUUGUUUCCCCAGCAGCUUCCCUAGACUAGUUCUGGAUCGGUAAGGUUAUAUCACCCCUGUAACAUGCUUUAUCAUCAUUAGGAGAAACGUUAGCAGUAUCUUAGGAUGAGAGGGUUUUGCGUGGCGUCAGCUGCAAGGUGGCUUAUAGAUUUAAGUACUCACUCUGAACCGAGUUGCUCCCUCUUGAGUGCCUGCAUUAGUUGAAUAUCCAGACUUUGGUAUAUAAAGCCCAAAGGAGGGAGCUCCUAUAUGGUGUCACUGACUAAUAUUACUCGAAGCACUUUGCUGGUUUGUGGCGUGAAUAUGAGCUGACGAUGUAAUGUGUGUGUACACAGGGUGUACGACCAAAUGCCGGAGCCGAGAUGGGUAAUCUCCAUGGGGAGCUGUGCAAAUGGUGGCGGUUACUAUCACUACUCGUACUCUGUUGUACGCGGUUGCGACAG